AUGCUGGGAAAGAAAAAAUGUUUCACGACCAAAUCUGUUUAUGAAUAUUUGGAAAGACACAUUACUGGAUGUGACUAUACGUGGAUUUGGAAAUCCAAGCUACCUCUUAAGGUCCAAAUAUUUCUUUGGCAACUCUUUCAAUAUGUUGUGCUAACCAGAGAUGUCAUGAGUAGGCGAAAUUGGGGAGGGGCUCCUAGAUGUUCUUUUUGCAGGGACAGGCAAACGCCCCGGCAUCUUUUCUUUACAUGCCCAGUGGCCAGGGUGGUGUGGAGGACUGUGGGAUGUGUUUUGGACACCGAUCUUUGCCCGAAUAAUCUUUGGAAAUACUUCUCUUAG
rnacentral:rRNA from 1 species